rnacentral:tRNA from 1 species
GCGGAUGUGGUAUAUUGGCUGUGCCUUUGGCUUCCACCCAAAAGAUGAGGAUUCGAUUUCCUCCAUCCGCUCCA